rnacentral:rRNA from 1 species
AUGGUGGUACCGUCGGUGUUCGCCGCCUUCGACAAGGACGGCGACCGCAAGGUGUCCGUGUCCGAGCUGCGCUGCUGCAUGGCGGCGUCCUUGGGCGAGGACAUAUCCGAGGAGGAGGUGGCCGUGGUCCUCGCGGCGGCGGAUGCCGACGGUGACGGGCUGCUAAACCAAGAAGAGUUCUCGAGGCUAGCCGCCGGUGCCCAUGAAGAGGACGACGUGAGGCGAAGAUGCCUGAGGGAGGCGUUCGGGAUGUACGCGUCGUCCUCCACGGAAGACACGACAACGACGAUGAUUACGCCAGCGAGCCUGAGGCGGACCCUGAGCAGACUGGGGUCGCACGAGCUGGGCGUGGAGGAGUGCAGGGCAAUGAUCUGCAGGUUCGACCUCGAUGGCGACGGCAAACUCUCGUUCGACGAGUUCCGGGUCAUGAUGAUGGCCUGA